AUAUCCCCCACCCGCAGCCCCACCAACCAAACCCUAACUCCUCCCAUCGCACUCCUCCUUCCUCAUCUCCUCGCCGCCGCCACCUCCUCCGUGUCCCGCCACCUCCUCCUCUUCGUCGAACCACCAGCUCCUCCUUCCUCAACGCGUCCCACAGCGGUGCCCACCGCGUCGCCUGCCGGCCGCCCUCGCGGGUGGCUGCGUCCGCCAGCUCCACCGGCGACCUGCUACCCCAUCGCUGGCCUCUCCCACACCCCUCUCUAACCCUAGAUUCCCAUCACUGGCGGAGGCACCUUCCUUCCCUCAUGCUGCACCUGAAGCUCCCUCCCGCUCCCAGCUUUUCUUCCUGCUCUGCCGCCGCUAGGGUUUCGUCUCCCCGAUCCCCAUUCCCCGAAGGUCGGAUCCAGCAGAAGAAGUGAUGGUGGCCGCGGGAGAUCCUCUCCAAGGUUCGAGCCAAGGCCGCUGAUGGAGCUGCAGCUGCCAGAGGAGCCGACUCGUCGGAUGCGGCCCCCGCCCCCGCCAAGGACCUCAAGAUCUGGGAUGCGCGUCGGAUGUGCUUCCCCAACGCCGACGCCGACGCCGUAAGGUGAGCCCUGUACUGUACAAUUGGCGGGAGGCAUCGUGGACUUGCCGGGGCGAGAGAACGACCCCUACAUCGUCUCUCCCAAUGUUUAAGGGUCGUCCCAACUGUUCAAGGAACUGCAUAUUUGGUGUGGAUAUAGCUACCGCUCGUGCGACAUGUGUUUAGCAUGCUCUCUUGUCUGCUGACCUCUUCCUGGGCUUCUCAACCAGCUUUGAGCAGGUCUACGCACUGGCCCCUCCGGCCAGGUCUACCUCGACAAGUGCUACAUUACCUAUAGCUACUACCCCACGGCGGCAGCCUCGGAGCUGCAGCUCACCCACGAAGGUCUCUCCCUCCUCUCUUGUGCAAGAUGCUCCCAUUGGUUUUGUUUAGACAAGAAGAACGAGAACAAGGAAGUGGCCGUCAAUGACUUCCUGCCUUCAGAAGAUGCCUAUGAGGCCAUCCAACACUCCAUGGAUCAGGGGUGAGGGAAGGCAUGGAGGAGGCGUUCAACAUGUACCGGCAGUCAGUGAUCAGCGUGGCCCUCAUCGAGACGCUAGACAAGAUGAUGGCCAGUGACAUGCACAGCCCCGAGCUCGCCAUGGCCGUCGUCGUGCAGUGCGACAAGGUCGCCCCUUCCCUUCCCUUCCACAUGCUACCACUUCACUGCUUCCUCUCCCAAACUCAUCGAUCAACAACGAGCAUCUAUCUAGAUUGGCCAAGUGUUCGUUGAUCUACAAGCCGGUUUAAGAUCUGGGAUUGGCCGGUCGAAUUCAACACGGAGCUGAGUGUAUGUCGAAACAUUUCAUCCAUCAAGCGCCGCCUCGCCGCCUCCGGCCACCCCGAUGACGCCCUCGCCUUCACCAACCUCCACUACUCCAUGAGGCUGGGUGCGUGCGCAUGGCGGCGGGUCUGCUGUGGUGCGUGCGGUGGUGGCGCGGCUGGGCUCGAGGAGCUGCGAUGCGGCAGGGAGGGAGCUGCUUCCUCUUGUCCUGCUUCGUGUCCCUGAGGUGGUUAGCUGUGCAGGGGGCGGGCGAGGAGGGUGCUGCUGCGGGAAGAAGAGGAGGAAGAAGGCGGCGGCGGAUUUGGACUGCGUACGAGUCAGGCUGCGACGGGGAGCUGCUGCUGUUGGUGCUACUGAACAAAGGAGGAACUACAGCUGCUGCUACCUUGUGCUGUUCCUGGAAGCUUGCCGAGCUACUGCUCCUUGUGUGGCUGCUUCUUGUUUCUACGGCACAGAAAGAAAGAGGUGCAGCGUGCUGAAAAAUGCCUUCGUUCAGCCUGUACGAACAUAUCCAGAAAUGAUGUUUCCUCUCAUUUAUGAAGCUCCAGCCUGAAAGUGAAUGUCGGUGUACUAGGGUAGGGGUCCCCUAGUAUCCCGAACUUGUGCACGGGCGGUUGCAGCACCCCGCGGCAAGGCUUGCCGGGUAACCGCCAAGGUCCUCCAUGGUUCUUGUGGAGCCAUUCAAGAACAAAGUAUUCACGCCAAGGAGACAAGGCACCGGCAAGAGGAGCUUGCCGGGAAGGCCAACCAAGGCAUCUCAAGGAACUUGCCGCGACGCGCCA